rnacentral:rRNA from 1 species
GUGCCAGCCGCGGCGGUAAUACGUAUGUCCCGAGCGUUAUCCGGAUUUAUUGGGCGUAAAGCGAGCGCAGACGGUUUAUUAAGUCUGAUGUGAAAGCCCGGAGCUCAACUCCGGAAUGGCAUUGGAAACUGGUUAACUUGAGUGCAGUAGAGGUAAGUGGAACUCCAUGUGUAGCGGUGGAAUGCGUAGAUAUAUGGAAGAACACCAGUGGCGAAGGCGGCUUACUGGACUGCAACUGACGUUGAGGCUCGAAAGUGUGGGUAGCAAACAGGAUUAGAUACCCUGGUAGUCCACACCGUAAACGAUGAACACUAGGUGUUAGGAGGUUUCCGCCUCUUAGUGCCGAAGCUAACGCAUUAAGUGUUCCGCCUGGGGAGUACGACCGCAAGGUUGAAACUCAAAGGAAUUGACGGGACCCGCACAAGCGGUGGAGCAUGUGGUUUAAUUCGAAGCAACGCGAAGAACCUUACCAGGUCUUGACAUCCUUUGAAGCUUUUAGAGAUAGAAGUGUUCUCUUCGGAGACAAAGUGACAGGUGGU